CUGCCUCCAGAAAACCUCCCCAAGAAAUCUGCUCAGCGAGAACCAUUAUAUUUUAAAGAAGAGAACACCACAUCAUAUGAUCAACACUCUAUAGAGAAUUGAAGACACAUAUAUAUUAAUUAUUCUGGAAACUAUAGUUUUAGGCCAUAAAAAUAACUUGAGGUGUAAUCCAACAAUCAAGAAGCAUUUAAGUACCUACUAUGUGCCAGGCAUUGGUUAUACUGGAUACAUAUGAUACAUAGGAAUAUAUCUAAACAUUCUGCUUUUUUGGGCUGGCUGCUUUAAUAUGGUGCAUACCAUUCUAUGGUCAGAAAAGCAUUACAUGGUAUCUUUGUACAUAUGGAUCAAGAGAAAACCCUGGAAGUAGUAAGAACCUUAUUUUAUUCCAAGAUGGUAGCAAGCAUCACUAAGACAUGUAAGACUUGUGGUUGAAGAAUAUAAAGAGAAACAACACUAAUGUAUGCUGCGUAUUUGAAGAAUAUAAGCAUUAGCAAAGUAUUGGAACUUAUUAAAAUUGAUUUCUUGUUUCUGGAAGAAAGUAGUAAAAAAUAAAAGUGAUA